GCAGAUGCAGAAACUGAGGCUCCAAGAGCAGAAGUGACACCGAAGUCACCUAGCCCAGAAUUGUCUAUCAUCAAGGCUGCUACUGGCCUCUCUAGGAGCUUUUGUGUCCACAGAAAAAGAUGUUCCUCUGGCCUGCCACAGCCUGCGGAAAUGUUUGCCCUAGGUGGCAGAGUGCCAGCUGAGUGUCAGCCCACAGAUGAAGGAGCCUUCAACUUAGGCCAGAACUUUGUGCAGAAUGCAAAAUAUGCACCCCUCUGCUGGCCCUGUCUGUGGAAGUAAAGAAGUUAAGAAACAGAUCAAUAAAUGAUGGUCUAUUCACAUGAUGAAA
rnacentral:misc_RNA from 1 species